rnacentral:rRNA from 1 species
GGAGGGUGCAAGCGUUAUCCGGAUUCACUGGGUUAAAGGGUGCGUAGGCGGGCAGGUAAGUCCGUGGUGAAAUCUCUGAGCUUAACUCAGAAACUGCCAUGGAUACUAUUUGUCUUGAAUAUUGUGGAGGUAAGCGGAAUAUGUCAUGUAGCGGUGAAAUGCUUAGAUAUGACAUAGAACACCAAUUGCGAAGGCAGCUUACUACACAGUUAUUGACGCUGAGGCACGAAAGCGUGGGGAUCAAACAGGAUUAGAUACCCUGGUAGUCCACGCCCUAAACGAUGAUUACUCGACAUCAGCGAUACACUGUUGGUGUCUGAGCGAAAGCAUUAAGUAAUCCACCUGGGAAGUACGAUCGCAAGAUUG